GUUUGCUAAAAUGUGUCUUUUAUAGUGACUUAUCGAAAUUGAGGUAUGCUGCGGAGCAGAGGCAGGAAAUAGCCAUAGUGGGGCUGAGUGCUUAGACCCAGGCCAGUACAUUUCUGAAUGCAGUGCUAUGCUUUCACAAACAAUCGGGCAUUGCUGUCUUUGUCUGACUGAGGCUCUAGCUUCUCUGAUGACACAUAUCUUCCUGCUCUACCAGGCACUCUGAGCUUCCCGGAGCCAUCCCAGCAUCACCAUAUUUCAAGACACCCAAGUCUACUAAAUAAUGUGCUGAGGGGAAUAGUUUGAGUUAAAACACCUACAGUUGUAAGGCUUUUCAGAAGUCUGUGCCCCUCCCUCCAGCAACCCUAGGUGGGAGAUGCACCUACUCUUCAGCACUUUCUAGAAGAAACCAAGGCUUAAGUAAUGUACCACAGGCCAAAUCCGUGGCAGAGGCAGAUGGUGACUUCAGAGACUACCCCUUCCACUACUAUACCAACAGUUCUCAGACUUUGGUGUGUAUAAAUGCAGAGGGCUAGACCCUGUUGCAAAGAUUCUGACUCAGAAGGCCUGAGGAAUGCCCUAGGAAGUUGCUUUUUUUCUUAAAACACCCCAAAUAACACUAAUUUA
rnacentral:lncRNA from 1 species